CAAUCCAUCGGCUGAUACCCGUUCUUGCACUAAUUCUCUUCGGUUACAAAAACAUUAAUUAGGGUUUUUCUUCCAUUUACAAAAAUUCAAGUUUCUUCGUAAUUCUCGUCCCAUUAUUUUCCAGUUACAGAAGCCACUAAUUGCCACAUUCGUUUUCUUUGAUUAGGAUCAUGUGAUUUACGAAACCCCACUAUAUAAACCUCGAGAGAGGAAAUCAUCUUCAUAGGUUUCUCCAUUUCGUUUUUCGUUUCUAUCUUAGUUUGGAUUAAUUUUUCUUUAGAUAAAUUAGAUUUGUACUCGAUUGGUAAAUUUGGAUUUGGGUUUCUUGAUCAUCUUCACUUUCUUAAUAUUUGGAUGUAUUGUUGAAGAUUUUUGUUGGUCUAUUGAGAAUAGAGUUAUCUUCUAUUUCAGAUGAAAAAUCAGUGGAGAACUCAACCAAUGAAGCCAUUUUAGCAGGGUGUUCUAUAAGUCUAAACCAUGUUAACUACAAUGGAGAUGCAGAUGCUCAGAAGUUUGGAACAAAAGUAUCUCGAAGUUGUUCUCUUGGCAGCUCCAUCACUCUUAUUUUCGUUUGCCGGUUUACCACAUUUGCACAUUCCACCCAUACCCUUACCAUACAAUGAAUUUCUAUGUUGGUGGUGCAAAAUUGAAGAUUGAUCCUUGGGGUUUUUCUACAAAACACAUCGGCAAUGAUCCCACAUUUCAAGUCGUCAUCCAACGUCCCCAAAUCUCGCCAUUCAAUGGUAUUAAUAUCACCGUUAUUUCUCAUUCAUAGGGUAUCAGAAAAACAAAGAAUUGGGAGUGACGGAGAUUUUAAGAAUUUUUAUAGCAGGAGUGACGGUGAUACAAAAUGCAUCCAUAAAGAAUGCACUAUAAUAGCAUUUCCAGUUUUCCUCAAGAUUUUGUGAACGGCCUGCGAAAUUUGCUUGAAGAAGAUGAUUUAGUGCAUUAACAAUAAAAACAAAACAAAACAAAAAACUGGAGUCGCCCUAUUUAAGGGAAUUAAGUGGACCCUAUUGAGCGAUUCUGGAUGAAGCUAUGAGCGAAGGCAACAUUGAUGGCUGCUAUGUGCGAGAUGAGUUUGUCUAUGUAAGUGAAUAUUCUCUGAUAACCAAGUUCCUCUGACCAAGUUAUAAUAAGUUCAUGCUAUCAAAGGAUUUGAGUUCGUUAGCAGAGGCUAAGGGUGCCAAGAUACACACUAUGGAAAAACGCAAGCAAUAAGCCAAAUAAAUUGUCUGUAACACAAGCACGUGAGUUCAUUUUUUUGCUGUAGUGGAUAGCUUUUCUCGGAGGUUUCCAUAUGAAGAUAUGUAUUACACUAUUAACGUUUAAUGUAAUAGUGUAUAUGUAUUACACUAUUACUUAGGCAUGCAAGGAAUCUUAUGUCGUACUGGAUAUAAAUUCAUGAUCUGCUAGGAUCAGUUAGUACAUUUUAUGGGUCCACUAAUUUCUUUCCGGUAAUCGUUUAUUGGCUAUUUGUGUUGAUGAUUACUCAAGACAUAGCUUUAGUAUU